GACGAACGCUGGCGGCGUGCUUAACACAUGCAAGUCGUACGGUAAGGCCCUUUCGGGGGUACACGAGUGGCGCACGGGUGCGUAACACGUGAGUAACCUGCCCACAACUUUGGGAUAACGCUAGGAAACUGGUGCUAAUACUGGAUAUGUGCUCCUGCUGCAUGGUGGGGGUUGGAAAGCUCCGGCGGUUGUGGAUGGACUCGCGGCCUAUCAGCUUGUUGGUGGGGUAGUGGCCUACCAAGGCGGCGACGGGUAGCCGGCCUGAGAGGGUGACCGGCCACAUUGGGACUGAGAUACGGCCCAGACUCCUACGGGAGGCAGCAGUGGGGAAUAUUGCACAAUGGGCGCAAGCCUGAUGCAGCAACGCCGCGUGCGGGAUGACGGCCUUCGGGUUGUAAACCGCUUUCAGCAGGGACGAAGCUUUUUGUGACGGUACCUGCAGAAGAAGCACCGGCUAACUACGU
rnacentral:rRNA from 1 species